rnacentral:rRNA from 1 species
AGUGAACGCUGGCGGUAGGCCUAACACAUGCAAGUCGAACGGCAGCACAGUAAGAGCUUGCUCUUACGGGUGGCGGGUGGCGGACGGGUGAGGAAUACAUCGGAAUCUACUUUUUCGUGGGGGAUAACGUAGGGAAACUUACGCUAAUACCGCAUACGACCUACGGGUGAAAGCAGGGGAUCUUCGGACCUUGCGCGAUUGAAUGAGCCGAUGUCGGAUUAGCUAGUUGGCGGGGUAAAGGCCCAUCAAGGCGACGAUCCGUAGCUGGUCUGAGAGGAUGAUCAGCCACACUGGAACUGAGACACGGUCCAGACUCCUACGGGAGGCAGCAGUGGGGAAUAUUGGACAAUGGGCGCAAGCCUGAUCCAGCCAUACCGCGUGGGUGAAGAAGGCCUUCGGGUUGUAAAGCCCUUUUGUUGGGAAAGAAAAGCAGCAGGUUAAUACCCCGCUGUUCUGACGGUACCCAAAGAAUAAGCACCGGCUAACUUCGUG